CAAUAAAUCCAAUUUUUUUAAGCAAGUCAGCAAAAAAUUUCUAUUUACUUUUUUUGCUUGGUCAAAUUGGAUGCCUAAUCAAGCUUAGCGGGUAUAGAUUGAGCUUAAUGACGCAUCUCUAGGAAACUGAAAAGACUGCGCUAUAAAUUGCUGCUGAUAAUAAACAUAUUGUAUUUUAUUAUAUAUAUAUUAUAUAUCCAUAUGUUUGUAAAAUAGCGCAAAUAUACGUUUAGCUGCCUUUUGGCUGUACUUAAAUAUAUAUUCAGGACGCAAACAGAAAACUUUAUCAACGCAGAAACACCCUUUCAACAAACGGACCAAAUAUUUGGCCACAAGCACCGCCGCAAGCACCAAGAUCUCUUAAGCCUAAGCCGUUUCUUAGUUACCUGCAAAAUUAAUAUGAAUGGCUUAAGUAGCAAGCCAAAUUGAGACGAAAGACAACGCGACGGUGAGUUGCUAAGUACAAUUUGAUGAUGCUGACGCAGGACGACGUUGAUGACUUCAAGUGAAAGGUGAAAAUGUGCAGAGUUGUGCUUGUUUGUAUAUGUAUAAGCCUAAAGGCUGGCGGAUUUGUCUUCCAAUUGUUUGUCUUUAUUUGUUUGUUUAAUAUUCACACACAUAUAUAUAUAUUUAUAUAUAUAUUUAUGUAUAUAAAUCCAUAUAUAGGAGUAUGUACAUACUUACAUAAAGCCGCUGGCAACUCUGGACGAACACAAUAUUGGCGUUAGUUUGGCACAGAUUUUGAUUGAGUUUUCAACAGUUCAGAUUGUUUUCAUUGUCAAACGAUAAGCCGAAAUCGUUGCUAACAGUGAACUUUUUUUUAUUGUAUAUAUGUCUGUCUGUGUGUGUGUGUGUGUGUGCAAGAUAUUGAGUUAAGUGGUGGCGUGGUGUUAAACCAAUUUCGGCAAUUUUGUUUGCAUGCCAAAACUGGACUUUACACUUAAUUGUAAAUAAAAUGGAAAUUAAACCUCA